GCCACCGACGACGCGUCGCUGUCUCCGGAACACGUCUGGUACAACGGUUGCUGCUGCUGCUGUUGCUGUUGCUGCUGCUGCUGCUGCUGCUGCUGCUGCUGCUGCUGUUGUUGUUGCGGCCGAGGCGGCGACGGCUGCGGCGGUCCGUAC